UUUCUACUCCCUCCGUCCAAAAAUUCUUGUCUUCAAUUUGUCUACAUAUGAAUGUAUCUAGUCACAUUUUAGUAUUUACAUACAUCCAUUUCUAGACAAACUUAAGACAAGAAUUUUGGGACGGAGGGAGUACUUC
rnacentral:pre_miRNA from 1 species